GAGUAUUCAGCAUGGUAAAAGUUCUUCUAGGUGGGAGGGGGGCCUGGAAAGGAAUAUAAGAAUCAGUUCAAAGAUUGUGGAUGAAGAAGGCUCAUAUAAGAGUGAAUACAGCAAUGGCAAGAAUCAUGGAAGAGAGUACACUUCUGGUAACAGGUUGAAGCGAUACUGCACUGAGUCAGAAAACAAUGAGCGCAAACAUUAUGGGGAUUAUGGGGACUAUGCAAGCUCCAAAAGCAGGAAACUUUCUGAGGAUAGUGCUCGCACUGCUCACUCAGAUCACUAUUCACGCCACUCUUUGGAUAGGUUCUAUAGAAACUCUUC
rnacentral:misc_RNA from 1 species